GAUGAACGCUGGCGGCGUGCCUAAUACAUGCAAGUCGAGCGAACAGACGAGGAGCUUACUCCUCUGACGUUAGCGGCGGACGGGUGAGUAACACGUGGAUAACCUACCUAUAAGACUGGGAUAACUUCGGGAAACCGGAGCUAAUACCGGAUAACAUGUUGAACCGCAUGGUUCAACAGUGAAAGACGGUCUUGCUGUCACUUAUAGAUGGAUCCGCGUCGCAUUAGCUAGUUGGUAAGGUAACGGCUUACCAAGGCAACGAUGCGUAGCCGACCUGAGAGGGUGAUCGGCCACACUGGAACUGAGACACGGUCCAGACUCCUGCGGGAGGCAGCAGUAGGGAAUCUUCCGCAAUGGGCGAAAGCCUGACGGAGCAACGCCGCGUGAGUGAAGAAGGUCUUCGGAUCGUAAAACUCUGUUAUUAGGGAAGAACAAAUGUGUAAGUAACUAUGCACGUCUUGACGGUACCUAAUCAGAAAGCCACGGCUAACUGCGUG
rnacentral:rRNA from 1 species